CUAACAGAAGGGUGGGAAGUUUAGAAUUCAAGGAUGUCCAGUGUUCGGUUAAUUUACAUAUAAAACAACUAAAACAAUCAUAUUUUUGCAGUUUCUUAAAAAAAAUCACCUCCAGCAUGUUUAGACAUGCUGAUUCCAUCAUUUUUCCAAAGCUGUUCUGUGAUUUUAGGUGUUUGAUUACAGAUCGCUGAGCCAACUUGUGAUUUCAGGUCUAUUCUGGGGGUGGGUGAUAUGGUGUAGCGACAUUAGCUCAUCAAGGAUUUGAAAGUGCUGACAAUGUACCAAAGCAGAGAGAUCACAGAACCAUCUCUUUGUUUAUAAUAGAAAGAUUGAAACUGUUUCUACCCGGACCGUUUUAGAUGUGACACUCUGAGCCUCUUUUGUGUUUAUUUCUUAAAGUAGAAUUAGUAGCAAUAUGAAUGUGUCUACUUGAUGAUGAGCUUUAGCUUUAGCCUGUUAGCAUAGUGCCAGCUUUUCUUUACUAGCAAAUAUUAGGGGCAGCAGUAGCUCAGGAGGUAGAGCGGGCUGUCCAGUAAUCAGAAUGUUGCAGGUUUGAUCCUGGCUCCCACCAGAGAAUGCUGCUGUUGUGUUCUUGAGCAAGACACUUAACCCACCUGGCCUGCUGGUGGUGGUCGGAGGGACUGGUGGCGCCAGUGUUCAGCAGGCCUCGCCUCUGUCAGUGCGCCCCAGGGCAGCUGUGACUACAUCGUAGCUCAACCCCACCAGUGUGUGAAUGGGUGAAUGACUGAUUGUGUUGUGAAGUGCCUUGGGUGUUUUUGAACCCUCACCCCUUCUUUCCACAGGAGCCGUCAGCAGCACGUUACUGCAGCAGCACGUCUUGCUCACGUAAGCUGCUGCUUGGCCCUUCCCACGAGACGCGAAGCAGCAGGGGAGCAGCUGUCACCGACAGAGAACGAAGUCACACGAGUGACUUCGUCAGUAAACACAACAACAAGCAGGAGAAAACUACAACAUGGCUCCAAAAGGUUUGUGUUUUAUGUUCUGUCCGUUUUAUAAUCGCCAAUACGGACCUGAAAAACAAAGGAGACCGCUAGCUAGGUGAUAUCUUCUCACAGGGCCGCAGAGUUAGUAACUUUUUUUAAAAGUAAAGCAACCGGAAGGCACUACGUUUCUUUAUUCUGAAAAUCUCGGGAGCUUCGCUCCAUUUCCGCGUCCGAUUUUCUGUCUUUCCUUCCCCAAAAAUGUCGAACUUGACUCGUUUCAGAGGCGUAGCGUGUAGAAAAUAGAACCGGCGCGUAAAGGCCGCGACGUGCUGCUCCUGAGACGCGGCCGACUCGCGCUGCUGACGGCUCCGGUGGAAAAGGUUCUGUUGACCACAGCAGUUCCUAUCAGCAGCUAUGACGUGCUGCUGCAGUAACGUGCUGCUGACGGCUCCGGUGGAGAGAAAGGGUCAGAAGGCGCUAUACAAAUACAGGCCAUUUACCAAUAGCGUAAGGCAGGAAAUUAGUAGUUACAGCUAGUUCAAAUCAAAUCAAACUUUAUUUACAAAGCACUUUUCAUGCACAGGAAGCAACACAACAUGCUUAACAGAUUAAAAUGACCCAUAUAACCCACAUUCCCUCCGUUUCCCACACUUAAAACAAUUAUGACAGUUUCACCCCAAUCCACAAACCAUUCCCAGGCACACACACACACACUCGUACACAUAACACAGUAAAAGACCACAGUAAACACUAGGCUGAGCUCAGAUUGGACAGGUGAUGAAAGACACGCCAUCAAGGGAGCCAUCUGCCUCGGCAGCAGCAGAUCCACGGCAGCAGCCAAGACACCAAUCCAGGGCGCCCUGGGAGGGAGGGUGGCAACCCCCACCACUAGCUGGGCACUGCCGAAGGAGCGCCCCAGCCGCCGCCACCGACCACCGGUCCUGAGGCAGAGGGAUCCACCGAGGAAACACUGCAAGGUUUAAAAUAUGUAACAUGUAAAAUCACAAGAGCUAAUACGGAUAGUAAAAUAUACAAUAAAAUAUGAUUAUAGAAAUAAAACAUCAUCAAUGUGUAACACAACGGUAAUUAAAAUAGAUAAAUAAGUAAAACAAGCUAUGUAAUAAAUAGUAAUCAGUUAAAAGCUAAACUAAAAAGGUGGGUCUUGAGCCUAUUCUUAAAAACAUGAACGUUCUCUGCGACCCUGACAUCCUACGGCAGCCCGUUCCAGAGGCGAGGGCCGUAAUAACUAAAAGACGCCUCACCGUGAGUGUGAGUCCUGACUUUAGGAAUGACAAGGAGACAGCUGCCAGAGGAGCGCAGGGACCACGAGGGUUUAUAUGGUAAAAGCGGUUGCGAGAGAUAAGACGAGCCAAUACCAUUAAGACACUUAAAAACCAUUAAAGUAUCUUAGUUGUCUUGUAUCACUUAGGGCUGCGUUUUAACUAAGGGCAUCUUUGUGUUUGUAGUGUUCAGUAACAGAUUUCUUUUAAAUUAUAUUAGUAAUGUGAUUAUACUAUGAAAAAGAGAUUAUUGUGUUUUGCCAGGUCUCCCACCCCUAGUUGAUUCUUAAAUUUGAAAUCUACUUAAUCUGUUUCAGAAUUAGUCACAACUCCAAGUAAACAACUAACCAGGAUGUUCAAAAUAAGUUUACUAAAAUCAAACAUAACUCCGUCUCAAAUCCAGAUGUGUUUAAGUACGCUUUUACUUCCACUCAGGUGGGAUCGGCAGGAAAUCAAGCUAAGAGUUGAAAGUUGCCCCAGGAAAUGUCAGCGCACCAUAAAAGGAUUACGACUGAUACAAAUGUAGGAUUUUUAUCCAAACCUCUAAAUAGAUGCAUAUUUCUCACGCUCAAAACGUGAGUUGGCAAACCUGGUAGUGCUUUUGUAAAGGCUAAUUUCACUCCUGAGUAUGUAUACGCUAUAUCCUCUCAGAAUGUCUGUAAUUCCUACACUAGCUGGACUCUGGCUCAAUGUUUAUUGAAGAAUUGGGCUGAACUUAGUUCCCAAAUGUGAGGUAAAGUGGCAUUUUAGCUCUUUUAACAACCUUGGUUUAGAGCUAACUAGCCAAUAGCUUGUUAGCCACGGCUGUAGCGCAUUACUGCAGUUAUAAAACAACUUCCCUUAAUGUUCAUAGUGGUUCAUAAAACUAUUUUAUAAACCUUUAGAGCCCUUUUAUGGUCAUAUUAUAAGUUUCUUUACAUGUAAAUGUUUAUUUAAGUGGCAGUUAGCAGCACAGCUAGCUAUAUUGGACAGCAAUGGGAGAGUUUACAAAAACAAACCAAUAAAAAUCUUCGAAAACGGAGUUGAAUCUCGUUAGAUCAGAUUUGCUGAUACCUAUUUUUACCAAUUGGUAGUUAGUUUUGUGUACCAUGUUUGGGAAUGGUGUAUUCAGGGUUUCCCCAUCCAAUCCCUAGAUUGGAUUUAUGGAGUUUUAGAUUAAAGCUGGUCAAGCUAAGUGUUUUCUGAUUCCAGAUUCAAGAUGAUGCCACUCUGUUGGUGUUGCAAUCAAAAUCCAGAUCACAGUUGUGUGAUUUUAGCAAAAACAUCAAAUAAAGCAUUCAACUCCUCAUGCAUGAAAAAUAGUUAUAAUGGGCACAUUCAGAACUAGUAUGGAGUCAUAUCCAGUUUGCGUGAUUUUUAUUUAUUUAAUCUGUUCCCCAACCUGGAUGUGGUCUAUAGAGCUCCGGGAGUUGACGUCACUUCUCCCGGCAUGCAACAGUUCAAAUCGAAACGGCGCCAUAUUGGCAUGCAGAAGCCGGCAGCUGGACUAUUUGUUAUUGUCAGAAAACUCAAUCAAACGGGAAAUAUGGUAGAUUCCUGUUGUGCCCCAGGAUGCAGAACAGACGCAGACGACAUAAGGAAUGAGCCAUCUACAGGAUUCCCCAAGAUCCGGAGCGCCGCAAACGUUGGAUCAUUGUAAUAAAACGCGCUAGUGACCGGGCGAAAAUGAAGCUGUGGGAUCCCGAGAGGAAAGGUUUUCGCUUAUGCAGCGACCGCUUCAUAUCAGGUACUUAAACCAACGUUUCCUCAACUGUGUAUGGUAUUUAUUUUAAAUGCUUUUAUUACGAUUCUUAGUGGGCUUCCUAAACUUAUUUUGGCGUGGCUUUUUCUGUCUUAUUACUCAUAGCAGCAAGUAAACAUCACGUAAAACGUUGCCUCGUGAGUUCUGCGUGCUGCCGUUUCCGUGUUUUAUGAUCACAGCAAUUAACCGGCUAAGCUGUAUUUAAUUUUUAAGCAAUGGUUGAUCAAUUGUCAGAUCACACACCGAGACUACUUACGUGUAAAUCUGUUAUUUGUCCGUCCAUCCAUCCAUUUUCAUCCGCGUAUCCGGAGUCGGGUUGCGGGGGCAGUAGCGUGACUUCCCUCUCCCCAGCCGCCGGAGCCAGCUCCUCCGGGUAAAUCCCAAGGGGUUCCCCGGUCAGGUCCGGUGUUGUGCCGGUAAGAAGCCCGCUCCGACAGCUUCUGGCGUCGGAGCGGGCAGUAGAGUCGAGAGUCCCAGACCUUCUCCCCAGCUCCUCCGGCCGGGGAAAUCCCAAGGGGUUCCCCCGGCCAGGUCCGGUGUUGUGCCGGUAAGAAGUCCGCUCCGACAUCUUCUGGCGUUUUUAAAAAGUAUCCCAGGGGCACGGUAAGGGUCGGAGAUGUUUAGUCUAUUUAAUUUCUGACUAUAUAAAACGAUUUCUUCUGUUUUAAAGUGUGAAGUAAACUCAGAUGAAGUAAAAUCCAAGCGGAUCCCGUUCAUGUUCAUGGUUACAUCCGUGUUUGUUUACCUUUUUUGCAUGCCAAAAUGGCGUCCACUAACUGAGAGUCACGUGGGGUCCGGAGCUCUAUAGUGCCAUAAAAUAUAGUUAAUUGUAGAAAAGGAGGAGUAUCAUGACUGCUGAGGAUAACUGACCAAAUCAGAAUUUUUUAUUAUUUAUUGUGUUUUUCUAACUAUUCCUGACAUUUUUAUUACCAACGAAAAGGCCAGUUUUUGCAUAUUGUUUGCACACGUUCUGGUGUUUCUCUUUGGAAGCCAUGUUUUACUCCAUCUCAGGUCAAGGAGACCAGGAUCCGGUCCGUUUUGGAUCCACUGGUGCUGAUCAAGGUCAGGCUGUUUGAUUCUCAAUGGAGUAAAUGUCAUUUAAACGUGCAUGCGUGUGCAUGAGGACAUGGGGCGUUACCCACAUGACAGAUGUUACCUUUGGGGUCAGAAGGCCAAUUAGGUUUCUUCUAAUGGGGCCAAGUCCUUAGCUGUUCGCGGCACAAACACACAGAGAAUAAAUUGAUCAGAUUACCAUGGUAAUGUGAAUGCAGCCGGUUAAACCACAUUAAGGAGCCUCUUUGCCUUUUUUUCUAAUUUUGCUCAUGGAUCCUUUCCACUUGUUUAUGUCCCAAGUUUCCUCUUUGUUCUUCCAGUUUCUCCCACAGCAGAUGCAGAGCAAAUCUCCUCCGUGGCUUCUUACAUCUCUAACUUUAUAUUCCCAUCUGUCCGCUCUUGCUCGCUCGCUCGCCGUCUUCAUCUCUCGCCGUUUAAUUUGAGUUACUGCCACUUUAUUCCAUCUGAAAUAAAGUGUCUCAAGUCACACUUUUUUAUAGUCUAACUUGAUUUUUCUCCUGAUCAAAUCCCGGUUCUAUUUUAUGGGACAGCUCAUAUCAGCCAAUCAGAAGAAAACAGAAAAAGGUGGAAGUUAUUUUUGCUUCAUCGUGCUGACACUGAAUUCUAAAUGUCAAGAAAAACGUUGAAAGAAGGCGAGCAUGGCUGUGCUCUUGGACCUGACUGUAUUUUUUUUCUGUUUAUUAUUAAUGUUAUGAUUAAAGGGACAUUAUGGAAGUUUGACAGCCAAAACAUGUAUAGAAAAAUAAAUGUCUUCUUCAUACAUUCUCCUGCAAUGCCCUGGUCCUGUAGAAUGAGCCCUGGCAUUUUUACUGUGAUUACCUGUUUUUCUGUAAAUUCACAGAAAAAGAGAGCUGCUCGGGUCGAGCAGGCUGCUUCAUGCAUGUUCACCAGGCCCCCACAAUGCAGCUCUGAAAUUGAGUCAAACCCGGAAGUGAAAUAAAUUGCAGUUCCACCCUCAUCCGCUGGGGGCUGGUAUCAGAAGCGAGUAAAUCCUCGUUGACUCCCAUGUUAAAAAUACCAAUUUCACAGCAGAAAUAAACAUGUUUACAGCCUGGUACCAAAACAUGUUUUUUGUUUAAAUUAUCUAGUUUACACUCAUGACAACUCUGAGGGGGGUGACUUUUUUUCUCACUCUUCUGUUUAAGUGUAUUAAAAGCCUAAAAUUCUGUAUAAUUAAUGAGCAUCAGACCCACGAAGUUAGUUAGUUAGCAGAGCUAGCUCCGUGGAAAGGCCUCAGUAGAGCCUCGGUCUGGCCUGGAAACUGCUCUGGGAUUUUGAGUCUCUGUGUUUGUGCGCUCUUGUUUGGAUAUUUUUUGUGCAAUUGUUGGACAAAAUGACUUGCUGUGCCAUUAAUUGCACCAAUAGAGCAUCCAAGGAGUCUCCACUUCAUUUUUUUCGGUAAGUAAAAUUAUAUUUAUGUAUUUUAGGUCACUGCCGAGCUGAGCUUAGAUUUUAACAUGUACUGUUUAACCAUGAAAUUUAAAUGUAAUAGGGUAAAACCCAGUGCAUUUAACAUAAUGUUGCACUUUAGAAAAUGGGUUGAAAUAUAACAUGUUGGUGGAGCUGAGUUCCGACUAUCGGCUUGUGGAGCUCUCGGGAGACCGAUGUUUCCCACCCUUAUCCCCUCCCUGCAGCCCGGUCAAUCUCUGUCUGAUUUCUGCUUCUGUUUGUUGUACGCUGGCUGACGGCUGGUUCUCCCAGCAGCUCUGCGCUUCUGUUAGCUGCGUGGGCUGACGGCUGGUUCUUAUGGCAAGCCAGAACCGCCAAAGUACGCCACUUCUCCCCGCAGCUCGGCACAUCUCUGUCUGAUCGCGCCUUCUGUGUGCUGCGCGGGCUGUCGGCUUGUGGAGCUCUGGGAUGGAAACCUUUCCACCCGGUUCUCCCCAGCGGCAGCUCUGCACAUCUCACAUCGCAGCGGCGCUUGUCUGCUGUGCGGCUGCCGGCUUGUGGAGGUCUCGGAGACCUCUGUGUUCCACCCGGUUUUACCCAGCGGUUAGCCCGGCGUAUCUCUGACUCAGAAGCUCUGGUGUUGUGCACAGUUAACUCCGGUUGUAGCUAGGUUGCUACCUCCGUUAGCUUAGCUCCCACCUCCGCAUUAGCUUUGGGUUAGCUUCAGGUUAGCUUGUAGCUAGUUCAACCGGGUGUCGUCAGUCGAUCCCAGCCUUACAGCCCCACCCUCAGCUCCUCCUCUCUUCCCUUUUAUGGAAUUGUCUGGGCUUGACGGAACCUGUGACACGGUCAAAAUGGCGGUGGUGGCCACCUCCCAUUUUAGCAGAAAAACUUGUUAUUGGAGCCUACGGAAACCCAUUGUCCAUAUAUUUAUGUUGAUGGUGUUCACGCUCAGGCAUAGCCCGUAGCAUUUGCUAUCAGUAGCUUUAGCAGCAGAGAGAGAGACAGUGCCUCUAUGUUGCUGUUCCUAACGCCUAGUGACAAACCUAGCUACAUUUCUGAGGACCCUUAGCUACUUUCUGUAGAACUUUCUUCUAGAUAUUUCCUGCAAAUUAGCAACAAAAUAGCCAUUUUCGCUCCGAACCGUUCUUUGGUUUGACGUUGUUUCAGGUGUCAUCAAGGACAUAAAAGUUACAGAUGCUACAAAUGUUACUGGUGUGUUGCUUAUGGAGCUAGGAUUGGGACAAUAAUCGGCGUAACUUGUACCAAGUUUUGUAACUUUGAACAUGUUUCAUCACAUGUAACUUUGGAUUCGUAACUUGUAACUUUAGUUUUCUAACUUGUAAUUCUCAAUUUGUACUUGUAUUUCUUGUUUUGUAACAGGAAAUUUUCAUUUUGUACAUGUACUUUUUAUUUUGUAAAAUCAAACUUUUAUUUUGUACAUUUAUUACUCAUUUUGUAACAUCAAACAUUCAUUCAGAAACAUGAAACUUUCGUUUUGUAACUAGCAGACUUCCAAAUUGAAAAAAUCAAGGUACAAGUUUGAAAUCAAAACUCUCAAAACACACAUUUCAUUCUACAGGUACAAACCUCAAAUCUACAGUUACAGAUCUUUUUGUCUAGAUUCUAGCGUCAGUGGGAGGAACUUGGGUGGAACCAAUGAGAGCACGAGUCUUAGCUACCAAUCACGUUUCUCGAAUUCCUGUUCAAUCAUUGGGAGAGGAGGGCAGGCUUCUGUCAGAGCUGUAAGAGAGUUACGGAAUGCGGGAGUCACGUGGUUCAUGUAGCUUCGAAUAGUUCCAAACAGCCCCGCUGCUGCAUUGACUGCAGUUCAUUUUCGGUGUUUCGGAAGGAUUUUCUCCGGUAAGUUGAUGAAAUGUCAUCAUUUUGUUGCAUUGUGAAGCAUUAGCUAACCGCUUCGUACCAAAAUAAGCCAACGAUGAUAUUUUAUGUUGCCAGUUUUAGCUAGAUAACCUUUAAUGAGCUAACUGUGUGCAGCUUGUUGGUUGUGAGCAGGAGGACGAGCUGUAGACGGGUUUAUUUCAGCUUGUUUGAUUCUACGUUUUAAACAUAUUCCCCACAGUUUUAAAUAGGUUAUAAACUUUUUACAUUAUUAGUUUUAUUUGGGAUUUUUUUGUACAAUAUGUUGCUGGUUGCUGUAUCAACACGAACAUGCAUCAGAAAUGGAAGCACGAAUGGAGAGACCAAUAAUAAAGAAAAUGUGAUUGUGAAGACAAGUAAUUAUUUAAUAUUUUUCAGUUAUUAACACUGACUACAUCGAACUGCUGAAGCAUGAGACAAACAGGAUUACGAACGUAAGAAGAUAUGUUGUUCUGUUUUGUGGACUCAAGUAAUGAGAAUAAAAUUACGAUAUUUCAAGAAUAGUAGUCGAACAAUAACUUUUAAAAAUUAGACAUUUUCCAUAAAACUGCUCAUUUCCACUUGCUUUAUAAUAUUAGCAUUUGCAAUUUUGUUAUUAAGGAAUGACAAGAAAUAAGAAUUAACAAUAACACAACUAUCAAUAAAUAAAUAAAUAAAGAGUUACUAAAACAAAAAUCUUAUUUAACCAUUAAAGAUUAAACUGUGUUGUGUGUCCAUCUUCAUGUUUUCAUAGUGGCUGAGCGGAGAGCUGACCAGAAACAACGGUGGUGGCAAAACCCAGUUGGGUCUGUGAUGGAGUGAUGCACGCCUGGAGUGAUCGCCAUCUCAUCCACAGGUUCUAACAUCAGGCAGAGGGAUACUCAUGUCCUGACGAAGCCUGCAGCCUGUUGAACCCACUGAAAAACAGAGCUGUUUUCCAGCUGGGUUCCCUGGUUGCAUAGCCUGUUCCUUUCUCCUCCUGGCCCUGACGCCGCCUCCUCAUGGCUUCCUGGGAUGUCCCUCUCUCCUGAUACCAUCUCAUGUCCCCUCUCACUUUCCCUCAUCUCAUUUGCCUCACUGCUGCUGCUGCUUUCCUCAUUCUCUGAAAUUAUAAUGGCACUGUUAAAAUAAAGGAUAAUUUUAAAAUAAAAUAAAUAAAAAUAUCUUAAUAAUUCAAAAGAUUUGUACCACAGUUUACUUGAGUACAACAUGUGUAGUCACUGGUCAGUGGAUCAACAUGCAGUGGUUCUGCUGUACGUCUCACUGCGGGAUCCUUCCUCCUCCUUGGUUCAGGGCGAUGAACAUACAGCAUCAGCCCUGAGUCUCACCUUGCCUUGCCUAGUCUUAAUAAACUGUCCCUCCUCAAAAUGUGCCUGUAGAGUGGUGUAUUAGUUUAUUUCCUGCCACAUUUAACAGUUUAAUUGCAGCAUUGUGCAGUUGAGAGCAGAACAUGUAGAGCCUUGAUAGAAAACAUUUGAGAGUGCACAUUAAACUCACUGCACACAGCUUUUUGUUAUUGUGAUCUCUGGUCAUGGUGAGGUUGCUCCUGCUGACUUGAGCCAACCAUUUUCUUCUUCUCACUGCAUCUUUGGGUAAGCCGUAAUUCUGAUUCCUCCCUCAGACCGAUUGCUAUAUGCAGCGCAGCCAACCAUGGUAAGAUAAUCAACCUAUAAAGGGAUUAUUAAAAUACUAUUUUUGUACAUAUAGAAAUAUUGAACUAAACCAAAAAUACAGAGGUGUAAAAUUACAUUUUAAAAUUUUAUCCAACCCUAAAAUUAGUCAUUUCAAAUUUUAACCAACGGACACAUUUUAUUUUAAUAAUAAUCAAAAUGAAGUUAUUCAAAAGAGUUUCAUUAGGUCUUGAGUACAUUGCUCAUAAUUAAUGAUUCAGCUUAUUUGUGCAUAUGUAAUGACUAAACAUAAUGUUGGUAAAAUGCUUCAUUAAAAAUGUUAUUAUACAUGUUGUACAAGUUUGGUGUUCAUUUUUUCACAGUUAGCACUUUUUUAUCUACCGUGAUGAACCAUACAGUUUUACUGAAGUUUUCUUUGUAAUUAGUUGCUAUAGAAGCCAGACAAACUGGGUUAUAGAUGCAUGUACUGUCUUCACAUAAAAAUAUAAAGUAAUGAUUGUAAAAUGUAUUCUACUGAACAUAAUAGAUCAUCAUUCAAAGCAUAAACAGCUACAUAUUUUCUUCAAGGUAAGCUGGAGCAGAAUUCUAGCUUUCAAUAAACACUUUAAAAUGGAUAUUACAACUCGAGUUUAGGGCUUCUUGUAGGACUUAAAGUUAUUAAAUAUGCUUAUAUUAGAGCAGUGUGUUGCAUUACUACAUCAAAUUUAUUGCUAUAGUAUAUUAUAGUAAUGUAUGUGCUCUAAAUGUGUUCUACAGUGUGUUAGGACUGUCGUGUUCCUGUAAUGUAGAACAGUCACGGGUGUUUGUCUUCCUACAAAUGCUCGGAAAAAUAUAAAUAGGCUACUUUGUGAAGGAGU